rnacentral:rRNA from 1 species
GCUUAACUGUGAGCGUGCGGGCGAUACGGGCAGACUUGAGUACUGCAGGGGAGACUGGAAUUCCUGGUGUAGCGGUGGAAUGCGCAGAUAUCAGGAGGAACACCGGUGGCGAAGGCGGGUCUCUGGGCAGUAACUGACGCUGAGGAGCGAAAGCGUGGGGAGCGAACAGGAUUAGAUACCCUGGUAGUCCACGCCGUAAACGGUGGGUACUAGGUGUGGGUUUCCUUCCUUGGGAUCCGUGCCGUAGCUAACGCAUUAAGUACCCCGCCUGGGGAGUACGGCCGCAAGGCUAAAACUCAAAGAAAUUGACGGGGGCCCGCACAAGCGGCGGAGCAUGUGGAUUAAUUCGAUGCAACGCGAAGAACCUUACCUGGGUUUGACAUGCACAGGACGCCGGCAGAGAUGUCGGUUCCCUUGUGGCCUGUGUGCAGGUGGUGCAUGGCUGUCGUCAGCUCGUGUCGUGAGAUGUUGGGUUAAGUCCCGCAACGAGCGCAACCCUUGUCUCAUGUUGCCAGCGGGUAAUGCCGGGGACUCGUGAGAGACUGCCGGGGUCAACUCGGAGGAAGGUGGGGAUGACGUCAAGUCAUCAUGCCCCUUAUGUCCAGGGCUUCACACAUGCUACAAUGGCCGGUACAAAGGGCUGCGAUGCCGCGAGGUUAAGCGAAUCCUUUUAAAGCCGGUCUCAGUUCGGAUCGGGGUCUG